rnacentral:misc_RNA from 1 species
AGUGAUUCAGCAACGUUUUUCGAUGAGAAGCCCAUUUCCCGGAGAAGGUUGUAGCCUUUCACAAAUUCCCUUACCUUUAUCGGAUUAUCCCCAUAGUUGAGAACAGCAAACGACACGGCUUCCCGUCCAAGCCCUGAAGCAACAUACUUGUUCACCACUGGAUCCCCCACCAGACCCGAAGAAGAAGAAGAAGAUGCAGUGAUUUUUGGUGGCGGUGGGUUCUCCACUGCAAUUCUACUCCAAUUCUGGGUCCCUUGUUCUGCCUCAGCAAGUACCUUCCUUUCGAAGUCAAAAUCGAACUGGAAUGUGCUCCGAGG